rnacentral:rRNA from 1 species
UACGGGGGAUGCAAGCGUUAUCCGGAUUUAUUGGGUUUAAAGGGUGCGUAGGCGGGCAUUUAAGCCGGCGGUCAAAUGUCGGGGCUCAACCCCGGCCUGCCGUCGGAACUGGGUGCCUUGAGUGGGCGAGAAGUAUGCGGAAUGCGCGGUGUAGCGGUGAAAUGCAUAGAUAUCGCGCAGAACUCCGAUUGCGAAGGCAGCUUACCAAGCUACUUCUGACGUUGAGGCACGAAAGCGUGGGGAGCAAACAGG